rnacentral:rRNA from 1 species
GCUACGGGGGGCAGCAGUGGGGAAUAUUGGGCAAUGGGCGCAAGCCUGACCCAGCAACGCCGCGUGAAGGAAGAAGGCUUUCGGGUUGUAAACUUCUUUUGUCAGGGAACAAAGGCGGGGACUAGUCCCCGGAUGAGGGUACCUGAAGAAAAAGCAUCGGCUAACUCCGUGCCAGCAGCCGCGGUAAUACGGAGGAUGCGAGCGUUAUCCGGAUUUAUUGGGUUUAAAGGGUGCGCAGGCGGCCUGUUAAGCCAGCGGUAAAAGCCCGGGGCUCAACCCCGGCGAGCCGUUGAAACUGGCGGGCG